ensembl:lncRNA
CUAACCCAAACAUCUGUCCUGUGCUCCAAGCACUUCACAGAGGACUGCUUUGAUCACUCAGGAGAGAGUGUAUCUUUCAAACCCGAUGCAGUCCCCACUGUGGCAAUGGCAUCAGACAUUCAACAGGAGAGCAAUGAAGAUGAUGCUGACCCUUCCCAAGACCUGACAGAAGAUCAUAUAGAGCAUCCGUAUGCGAUGGAUUCAGAGAGGGCGGAGAUGAGGGGUUUGGGGGAAAAUGACCCAAACAGCAGGAAGGAUCUUGCUUUCUCUAGGUAUGAUGAAGUGGAGAGGUUCUUGAGGACAGGGACAUUUUCAGAUGAGUUGAUGCAGGACAUGAAGCACUAUGUCAGAAGAGCCUCAAAGCACUACUGUCUGGAAGGUGAUGUUCUGUACUACUGUGGAGGAACUGGACUGGAUGACGGUCUUCGGCAUUUUGAUGGCCAACGGCAACGUAAAGUCCUACGCAGCCCGGAAGAAGUGAAGUGUGUGCUCAAACAAUACCACAAUGAGAAGAGCCACAAGAAUAGGACGGUGACUCUCAAAGAAGUGACAGGACUUUUCUACUGGGGUUCCAUGGCAAAAGAUGUAAACAAAUGGAUUGACAACUGUGAAGAAUGUCAGAUCCGUCCAAAAUAUUGUUCUUCCCAAAAGUCAAAUUACUGCAUUUGCUAUGGAUGUGAGAGUAGCCUGGUAUCAAACAGUGAAGACGAGAGCCUGACCUUUCACAGGUUCCCCAAAAGUGAUGACGAGAGAUUCAAGCUUUGGAUCUCCUAUACCAAACGGGAUCCAUGGUC